GACUUCCAAUGAUGAUUUAUUUUCACCAUCUUUCGGCUGACUGCCUGAUGGACACUUGUUUAUCUGAGAGAGUAU
rnacentral:snoRNA from 1 species